CAGGCCGGCCGGGUGACCGCGGGCCGCGGCCCCCGGGUCCGCGGCGCGAGGAAAGUCCGGGCUCCGCAGAGCAGGAUGGUGGGCAACGCCCACUCGGGGGAACCCGCAGGAAAGUGCCACAGAAAACAGACCGCCCGCCCCCGGUGCGUCCGGGCAGCGGGUGAGGGUGAAAAGGUGGUGUAAGAGACCACCAGCGCGCCGGGUGACCGGCGCGGCUCGGUAAACCCCAUCCGGAGCAAGGCCAGACAGGGUGCGCCCGAGGGCUGCUCGCCCGAGCACCCGGGUAGGCCGCUGGAGCCCGCCGGCAACGGCGGGCCUAGAUGGAUGGUCACCAGCACGGCCCGGGCGACCGGCCGUGUGCACAGAACCCGGCUUACAGGCCGGCCUGUCCC
rnacentral:RNase_P_RNA from 1 species